rnacentral:rRNA from 1 species
AUUGAACGCUGGCGGCAGGCCUAAUACAUGCAAGUCGAGCGGAGCGGCGGACGGGUGAGUAAUGCCUAGGAAUCUGCCUGUUAGUGGGGGAUCACGUCCGGCAACAGGCCCUUAUAUCACAUACUAUCAGCUAAGCCUAGGUCGGAUUAGCGAGUUGGUGGGGUAAUGGCCUACCAAGGCGACGAUCCGUACCUGGUCUGAGAGGAUGAUCAGUCACACUGGAACUGAGACACGGUCCAGACGCCUACGGGAGGCAGCAGUGGGGAAUCUUGGACAAUGGGCGAAAGCCUGAUCCAGCCAUGCCGCGUGUGUGAAGAAGGUCUUCGGAUUGUAAAGCACUGUAAGUUGGGAGGCGUUACCAACAGAGUAAGCACCGGCUAACUACGUGCCAGCAGCCGCGGUAAUUC